UACGUAGGGGGCAAGCGUUGUCCGGAUUUAUUGGGCGUAAAGAGCGUGUAGGCGGUUAGGUAGGUCCGUUGUGAAAACUCGAGGCUCAACCUCGAGACGCCGAUGGAAACCAUCUGACUAGAGUCCGGAAGAGGAGAGUGGAAUUCCUGGUGUAGCGGUGAAAUGCGCAGAUAUCAGGAAGAACACCCGUGGCGAAGGCGGCUCUCUGGGACGGUACUGACGCUGAGACGCGAAAGCGUGGGGAGCGAACAGG
rnacentral:rRNA from 1 species